rnacentral:rRNA from 1 species
UGAUGAAUAAGCCACGGCUAUCCGUGCCAGCAGCCGCGUAUACGGGAGUGGCAAGCGUAUCCGAUAUUGGGCGUAAAGCGUCGCAGGCGGCCCUUCAAGUCUGCUGUUAAAAAGUGGAGCUUAACUCCAUCAUGGCAGUGGAAACUGUUGGGCUUGAGUGUGGUAGGGGCAGAGGGAAUUCCCGGUGUAGCGGUGAAAUGCGUAGAUAUCGGGAAGAACACCAGUGGCGAAGGCGCUCUGCUGGGCCAUCACUGACGCUCAUGGACGAAAGCCAGGGGAGCGAAAGGGAUUAGAUACCCCUGUAGUCCUGGCCGUAAACGAUGAACACUAGGUGUCGGGGGAAUCGACCCCCUCGGUGUCGUAGCCAACGCGUUAAGUGUUCCGCCUGGGGAGCACGCACGCAAGCGUGAAACUCAAAGGAAUUGACGGGGGCCCGCACAAGCGGUGGAGUAUGUGGUUUAAUUCGAUGCAACGCGAAGAACCUUACCAGGGUUUGACAUCCUGCGAAUCUCUUGGAAACAGGAGAGUGCCUUCGGGAACGCAGUGACAGGUGGUGCAUGGCUGUCGUCAGCUCGUGUCGUGAGAUGUUGGGUUAAGUCCCGCAACGAGCGCAACCCACGUCUUUAGUUGCCAGCAUUUAGUUGGGCACUCUAGAGAGACUGCCGGUGAUAAACCGGAGGAAGGUGUGGAUGACGUCAAGUCAUCAUGCCCCUUACAUCCUGGGCUACACACGUACUACAAUGCUACGGACAAAGGGCAACAAGUUCGCGAGGACAAGCAAAUCCCAUAAACCGUGGCUCAGUUCAGAUCGUAGGCUGCAACUCGCCUACGUGAAGGCGGAAUCGCUAGUAAUCGCAGGUCAGCAUACUGCGGUGAAUACGUUCCCGGGCCUUGUACACACCGCCCGUCACACCAUGGAAGUUGGCCACGCCCGAAGCCGUUACUCCAACCCUUGUGGAGGAGGACGU